GACAGAGGCCUCAAGCGUUAGGCGGAAUCACUGGGCUUAAAGCGUGUGUAGGCGGGUCGUUAAGUACCUUGUGAAAUCCCACGGCUCACCCGUGGAACUGCUCGGUAUACUGGCGGUCUUGAGCCACUUAGGGGCUGUCGGAACAGACGGUGGAGCGGUGAAAUGCGUAGAUAUCGAUCUGGAACGCCAAAGGUGAAAACAGCUCGCUGGGGUUGUGCUGACGCGUGA
rnacentral:rRNA from 1 species